rnacentral:rRNA from 1 species
UACGUAGGGUGCAAGCGUUAAUCGGAAUUACUGGGCGUAAAGCGUGCGCAGGCGGUUAUGCAAGACAGAUGUGAAAUCCCCGGGCUCAACCUGGGAACUGCAUUUGUGACUGCAUGGCUGGAGUGCGGCAGAGGGGGGAUGGAAUUCCGCGUGUAGCAGUGAAAUGCGUAGAUAUGCGGAGGAACACCGAUGGCGAAGGCAAUCCCCUGGGCCUGCACUGACGCUCAUGCACGAAAGCGUGGGGAGCAAACAGG